CCUACGGGAGGCAGCAGUGAGGAAUAUUGGUCAAUGGACGAGAGUCUGAACCAGCCAAGUAGCGUGAAGGAUGACUGCCCUAUGGGUUGUAAACUUCUUUUAUAAAGGAAUAAAACGAGGCACGUGUGCCUUUUUGCAUGUACUUCAUGAAUAAGGAUCGGCUAACUCCGUGCCAGCAGCCGCGGUAAUACGGAGGAUCCGAGCGUUAUCCGGAUUUAUUUGGUUUAAAGGGAGCGUAGAUGGGUUGGUAAGUCAGUUGUGAAAGUUUGCGGCUCAACCGUAAAAUUGCAAUUGAUACUGGCAGUCUUGAGUACAGUUGAGGUAGGCGGAAUUCGUAGUGUAGCGGUGAAAUGCUUAGAUAUCACGAAGAACCCCGAUUGCGAAGGCAGCUUACUAAACUGUGACUGACAUUGAGGCUCGAAAGUGUGGGUAUCAAACAGGAUUAGAUACCCGAGUAGUC
rnacentral:rRNA from 1 species